UACAGAGGGGGCAAGCGUUGUUCGGAAUUACUGGGCGUAAAGGGCGCGUAGGCGGCCUGUUAAGUCGAACGUGAAAUCCCCGGGCUCAACCCAGGAACUGCGUCCGAUACUGGUUGGCUUGAAUUCGGGAGAGGGAUGUGGAAUUCCAGGUGUAGCGGUGAAAUGCGUAGAUAUCUGGAGGAACACCGGUGGCGAAGGCGGCAUCCUGGACCGAUACUGACGCUGAUGCGCGAAAGCCAGGGGAGCAAACGGG
rnacentral:rRNA from 1 species